rnacentral:rRNA from 1 species
UACGUAGGGGGCGAGCGUUGUCCGGAGUUACUGGGCGUAAAGCGCACGCAGGCGGUCUGCUAAGUUUGGAGUGACAGUUGGUGGCUUAACUGCCAAAGUGCUUCGAAAACUGACAGACUUGAGGGCUUCAGAGGGACACGGAAUUCCGGGUGGAGUGGUGAAAUGCGUAGAGAUCCGGAGGAACACCAAAGGCGAAGGCAGUGUCCUGGGGAGUACCUGACGCUCAGGUGCGAAAGCCAGGGGAGCGAACGGGAAUUAG